UUGUAACAUCACCUUUGCUGGUGUUGGGAGGGAUUGCUGGUAAAAAUAGCAAGGCUGAAUUUCAAGCUCCAGUUCGAACCACUAAAUAUCCUAGAGAGAUUCCACCUUUGCCUUGGUACCGUGGGACGAUUCCACAGAUGGCAAUGGCAGGAUUUCUGCCUUUCAGUGCCAUAUAUAUUGAGUUAUACUACAUAUUUGCCAGUGUGUGGGGCCACAGGAUUUACACCAUAUACAGCAUCUUGUUUAUUGUGUUCAUCAUUCUCCUUAUAGUUACGGCAUUCAUU
rnacentral:lncRNA from 1 species